AAGUCGUAACAAGGUCUCCGUUGGUGAACCAGCGGAGGGAUCAUUACAGAGUUAUACAACUCCCACACCAUUUGCCAACUUUACUCAGUUAUGCCUCGGCGUAAGCUCCGUACGGGGCUGCCGGGUUGCGCUGCGGGCGACAGCUACCCUGUAGCUUACCCUGUAGCGCUACCCUGUAGCGUUACCCUGCGGCGGCCCGCCGGUGGAAACGAAACUCUUGUUUUAUUGUAUCUUCUGAGCGUCUUAUUUUAAUAAGUUAAAACUUUCAACAACGGAUCUCUUGGUUCUG
rnacentral:misc_RNA from 2 species